CGCACUGUGGUGGAUUCUAAAUCCUUUAACAAGGACCAAUUGGAGGGCAAGUCUGGUGCCAGCAGCCGCGGUAAUUCCAGCUCCAAUAGCGUAUAUUAAAGUUGUUGCGGUUAAAACGUUCGUAGUUGAACUUGUGCUUCAUACGGGUAGUACAACUUACAAUUGUGGUUAGUACUAUACCUUUAUGUAUGUAAGCGUAUUACCGGUGGAGUUCUUAUAUGUGAUUAAAUACUUGUAUUUUUUCAUAUGUUCCUCCUAUUUAAAAACCUGCACUAGUGCUCUUAAACGAGUGUUAUUGUGGGCCGGUACUAUUACUUUGAACAAAUUAGAGUGCUUAAAGCAGGCUUCAAAUGCCUGAAUAUUCUGUGCAUGGGAUAAUGAAAUAAGACCUCUGUUCUGCUUUCAUUGGUUUUCAGAUCAAGAGGUAAUGAUUAAUAGAAGCAGUUUGGGGGCAUUAGUAUUACGACGCGAGAGGUGAAAUUCUUGGACCGUCGUAAGACUAACUUAAGCGAAAGCAUUUGCCAAAGAUGUUUUCAUUAAUCAAGAACGAAAGUUAGAGGUUCGAAGGCGAUCAGAUACCGCCCUAGUUCUAACCAUAAACGAUGCCAGCUAGCAAUUGGGUGUAGCUACUUUUAUGGCUCUCUCAGUCGCUUCCCGGGAAACCAAAGCUUUUGGGCUCCGGGGGAAGUAUGGUUGCAAAGCUGAAACUUAAAGGAAUUGACGGAAGGGCACCACCAGGAGUGGAGCCUGCGGCUUAAUUUGACUCAACACGGGAAAACUUACCAGGUCCGAACAUAAGUGUGUAAGACAGAUUGAUAGCUCUUUCU
rnacentral:ncRNA from 1 species